rnacentral:ncRNA from 1 species
AAAAUCCUGCCACCGGGUAGUGAAUGUUAAGCAUUCGAUUAUACAUCAUUAGGUCUUAGAAGAUGUAUAUUCGGAUGCUUAUUUUUU